ensembl:snRNA U6 U6 spliceosomal RNA
GUGCUCCCUUCGGCAAGCACUUACACUAAAACUGGAACAAUGCAGAGAAGAUUAGCACGGCCUUUGCACAAGGAUGACAGGCAAAUUUGUGAAGCAUUCUUUUUUUUU